CGCUGAGCCACUGGGGGCUAAUCUCUCAAGAUUUGAUAUUGUUAGAAAUAUCACAUAUUUGAUCUCCAGACGUCACUGUAUGCAAGUCUUAAAAUCACAGGUCCAGGAACAGGAUUAAGAAAAACGAAAACAGUGACUGUUUAUGGUGAGUGAAAACUGAGACUCUCCAUUGGAGUUCUUAAUUCUUCAGAAAAUUACUUGGAACAUUGCACCACUCCACAGUUCAUCUGAAAAAUAGCCAAAAAUGGAUUGUGAGGUCUAAAUUCCAUUUACAUGUCCUGGGUAUCUUGCCCUUUCCAAUCCUGAUAUAGCCAAUGAAGCAAAGAUAGAGAUUGUUUUAUAUGUUAAUUCCCUGUGAGGAAUGGUGGCAGAAAAAGCUGAAUGACUCGUGUGCCACUGUGUAAUGACAGCAAUGUCCAGCUUCGAUUUUUGGUUCCUGAAGACCUUCCUGAGAUUAAGAAGCUGUGCAGAGAGUGGUUUCCUAUUGAAUACCCUCAUAGCUGGUAUGAAGAUAUAAGUUGCAACAGAAAAUUCUUCUCCCUUGCAGCUGUAUACAAGUUCCAAAUCAUUGGGUUAAUUGUAGUGGAAAUAAAACCACAGGGUAAAUGUAACAAAGAGGAUCAAGGCCUUCUUUCAUCUCACUUUCCCAAAACAUCAUUAGUAGCUUAUAUUUUAACUCUGGGUGUAGUACAAGAAUUUCGAAGAAAUGGAAUAGCUACUUUACUGCUGGAUAGUGUAAUAUCUCAUCUGACCAAUAGUUCUGAAACUGCUGACUGCAAAGCAAUAUACCUGCACGUGUUGACCACUAACACUACAGCCAUUCAGUUCUAUGAACAGAGAAAGUUUAAAGUUCAUUCAUUCCUCCCCUUGUACUACAAUGUCCAUGGAGUUGCAAAGGAUGGUUACUCUUAUGUUCUGUAUGUAAAUGGAGGACAUCCACCCUGGACUAUAUUAGACUACCUGAAACACUGGGGACGGACAAUAUCACGUAUAGAACUGUGUUCCUUGCCUAAACAUCUAAUGACAGCAAUUGGUACAGUGAUUGCCAGUAUUCUACCAACAGGACUAAGGAGCAACCUUUCAGUUAGCUGAUAAUGUGUGAUUGAUGCUCUUAGCAUCAUUGAACAUUUCAAUUGUCAGAUCUCUCAGUACUUGUUAUGAGACACUGCUUCAUGUUCCAGUAGAAUGCUAUCAAAUGGAUUUAUUUCUGCAAAAAACAGUACACUGGAUCCUGUGAACUGUGGAAGAUAAUCUUAUGUCAACAAUUUCAUGAAUAGCUGUUGUUGAAAGCCCUUGAAAAACAGCAGAUGAAGCUUUGAAAAGUCCUUGAAAUUUAUCAUGAUGCUUGUGUGCGAACCCUGUGAUAAUAUAAUUUGUUCAGUACAUUUUUGAAAAGUAACUAAAUAAGAAAUACAAGUCCUGUUAUGUAAUUAGUUUCAGUAUGGAUAUGUACAUUAAACCUGUUAAUAAAAUAAAUGAGGUCCUCAUAUUUUUUAAAGUUGC
rnacentral:misc_RNA from 1 species